GAAAUGCGAUAAGUAAUGUGAAUUGCAGAAUUCAGUGAAUCAUCGAAUCUUUGAACGCACAUUGCGCCCGCCAGUAUUCUGGCGGGCAUGCCUGUCCGAGCGUCAUUUCAACCAUCAAGCCCCCGGGCUUGUGUUGGGGACCUGCGGCUGCCCGCAGGCUCUGAAAACCAGUGGCGGGCUCGCUGUCACACCGAGCGUAGUAGCAAUCACCUCGCUCAGGGCGUGCUGCGGGUUCCGGCCGUUAAACAGCCUUACAAAACCCAAGGUUGACCUCGGAUCAGGUAGGAAGACCCGCUGAACUUAAGC
rnacentral:misc_RNA from 1 species